rnacentral:lncRNA from 1 species
UGACAUUUUCUCCAAAUCGGAUAGUGAAGUGUAAGUCGAGCUUCGCCGCAGGCAACCCUGGGUCUCCGCCUUCAGACUCAGGGUCCCUGAGUGGGGUGCGCUGCCCCGGCGCUGCUAACCCAGGGGACCGGGUGGGAUCCCCCCACACACCCCCACCCAGCCGAGCGCCGUGGGCCCGGCCGUUCCACCAAGUGAGGCCGAGGAGCCCACGUGUGAGGCCCACGCCCGUCUCGGGCCGGGGCACUGGUGCGCUCCGAGCACGACGGGUGGCCGGCCUCGCGGCGGGUUCAAGUGCACGCCCGGGGUUGGAGCCAGCGGCUCGGCGAGCGAGUUCUCUCCUGCUCGGCCCCCUCUCCGGAGUUCAGUGUGCCCCGCUGCUCCUGGGACCCCCUCUCCCAGCCCUCCCAGUCGCGAUGAGCCGCCGGCCUGGGGCGCGAACCCGGGCGCGCUCCUCCCCGGGCCCCAGCCCACGGCGCGGGCCCCUCAAGAGCAACGUGGAGGCUCCGCCUGGAAAAGAAGUCCGACUUCCUCUCCGCGCUGCUCUGGUGCGAUCUGGAAUCGGCAGGAAAUGGCUCGAACACCCGUCCCGCGCCUUUGCAGUCAGCCCUCGCUUUGCUGAAGGGAAGCAGCUCCCACCAAAGUCUUACCGCCCCCUCCCCCACGAAAGACCCGCGCAGCUCCAAAAUGAUGCAAACGCGGCCAGCUGCGGAGUCAAUAUUAGGAGCGUAUUGAUGAGAAGUUAG